ACGGUUGUUUACAUUGUCUACAACAAGAAUUGUUACAGAAUGCCGUUACCAACCGACAUGGAAGCGAAAUUGCUGCGCCAGAUAGUUCUUGCAGGUAUGGCGGAUCUAAAAGAGGAUCAGGAUAAGGUCAAGUGGAAAUAUGCUUUAGAGGUUAGGUAUGAACACCUUCAGAAAUGGAGGAACCUGUGUUCAUGCAUUCUUCGUGCGUUCUACGGAAAAUCAGUCCGGAAUAGGUGGUUUAUAAAGAGGUGUACGAAACGAAUAAGAUGUAUAUGCGAAGGUGUCACGGCGAUAGAACCCAAAUGAUUGCCGAAAUUCGCUUCCACGCUAAGCCAUCUUAGUGAAUCAUUGGUUGAUCCACCGCCAAGAUAUAAUCAAGGAACCGGGAAGAUCAUUUGCCGCGUGUCUGGUACAUUUGGAAAGGCCGGAUGGGGACUACCAUCGAUGGAUAUAGAGCAUCUGUGGACGGUGUAAAGUGGUUCGCGUAUUUCUUCUUGGAGGGUCAGGUGUACAUACCCUAAGCUGAAACGAUUUGUUCCGUCGUUGCUGACGACACCUGGGAGCAUUACCAAGUCAUGGGCCAGGUUAAUACCACGCACUCAAGCAAUAGUAUAAACGUUGCAGUCGCAGGGAGUCGUGUCCAAAUACAAACUGCUAGAAAUCUGGGGUUUGGAUGAAAAAUGUGAGAUUUUAAUUUAUAAAAUAAUAUUUAGAUAUUAUCAUCGAGUAGACUUCUAUACAAUACUAGACCGCUGACAGGCAUCUCGGCCGUGAUGCUUGCCGCCGUGUUGAUUUUAGUCAAGAUAUGCUAUACUACAGAUUCUAUACAAGUGGUUUUAUACAAGAUUUCUAUACAAUAGUCUGGCAUAUACAGAAUUUCCAAAAGAAAGGGUUUAAUACUACAGGAGUAGUGGUUCGAUUCGGCAUUCAAGUAGCUACACGUUGAAGGCAUGACUUACAAACUUAUUGAUAACAUGUACCAAUAUUUAACACAAAAACAUUCGCCUGCUUCGUUAUGUACUGUAAUAACGAAUGCAGAUAAACGCACAUCAUGAGCAACUGAACACCCGAUAGUGACUUAUUGUUAAUUCAAUAUGGCCGCACCCUUCACUAACACUUGCAUCUCGCACUCGCAUCAGCUUUUCGGCAGUGCGUCCAUAGAUGUUAAUGGUCUAGUAUAAAAGUCUGUGGAUAUUAUGUAUUUAUAAUUUUAGUUCUGUUGUCAGCUUACAAAACGUGGCUGCCGGAAUCCGCGCACGCAGA